rnacentral:lncRNA from 12 species
UUUUUCUGGGUCAGGAGGUGUCUCUUCCCUAGAGAGCAACUGUAUGACUACUGCUGGGCAUUGCCUCAUAGGCAUCUUCCAGCAUGGGCUCUCGUGAGGCAGUUAGGAUUACAGCAUGCUGGGAGAACUGGGGCAACAGUAUCUAGUCAUAAACAGGAAGCAGAAACUGACCGUCUUAGAAGAGGUAGAAAAUUAUGAGACAUAUCCCAGUGGGGGCUGCAUAACUGUGGUUCAGUUCUGGACUGGUAUGUAAUCCAAGGUGAGAAGUAAGUGGUGUAGGAAUAGGCAAGCCUAGGAAGACUAAUUAAUGGUCCAUGCACUUCAGGGAAUUGGGGCUGGAAGGAAAGAAGGUGCAGUAACUAGGAAUCAUAUCUACUGUGCGAGGAAAGCUGCCUGUGGCACUGAUCUAAAUGAUAAAUGGAGAGAAGUCAAAAGAGACAAGGAAAGGAAUAUGCAGAAGCAAGAGGAUGUUUGGGAAAAGACUGUAAGUCAUGAAUUUGAAGAACACUAGUUCUUAGCUGGAGAGCUAGAAGUACAAGAUGUGAAUGUGGAGCUCCCUGGCCUGGCCCUAAUGAAGCUUGCUGUCUAAAGAAAAUAUAGUUGACCUUUGAAUAAUAUGGGAUUGAGCGGUAUGGGGCCACUUACAUGUGGAUUUUUUUUGCAAUAAAAACAAUACCAUAAAUGAUUUUUUGUUCUGU